rnacentral:rRNA from 1 species
GACGAACCUUGCUAACGUUAUUCGGAAUUACUGGGCUUAAAGGGUGCGUAGGCGGUGCGGAAAGUCGGGUGUGAAAUCCCCCAGCUCAACUGGGGAAUUGCGCCUGAAACUACCGUGCUCGAGGAAGACAGAGGUACGCGGAACUUAGGGUGGAGCGGUGAAAUGCGUUGAUAUCCACAGGAACUCCGGUGGCGAAGGCGGCACGCUGGACCCUUUCUGACGCUGAGGCGCGAAAGCCAGGGGAGCGAACGGG